AACCCAUGAACAGCAAAGCAAGGGCCGAAUAGUAUAUUAGUAUAGGCCAGUUCCCUCACUCCCCAGAUUCCCCUUUUCAUAGCACCUCUAUACCUCUUCUUCUCGUCGUCACUCUAUCCCGCAUCUGCUGUUCUUUAUUUCUAUACAUACAUAUAUACUAUCAUCGGUUAUUUGCUUCUCUAUUCUGUCCGAGUACUUUACGGUGUUCCGCACAUAGAUCUCGUGGCCGGCUGUUUUGCGCUUUCGCUUGCGUUUCUUGGCCCUGCUGGUGUUGACCGGUCCGAACGGGGGCAGAUCGAUGCUUUGGGUUUGAAGCGGAGCUCCUAUCAUUCCAAUGAAGGGUCGUUCCGAAGGGCUGGUUCCGCUGCUCGUUCAUGGUUCCCACUAUCCUAUCUCAUCAUGUGUAUAUAUGUAAUCCAUGGGGGAGGGUUUCUCUCGUCUUUGAGAUAGGCUUGUGGUUUGCAUGACCGAGGAGCUGCACCGCCCCCUUGCUGGCCGCUCUUUGGAUUGAAGGGAGCUCUGCAUCCUGAUCCACCCCUCCAUUUUUUUUUGCUUGUUGCGUCCUUCCUGGGACCUGAGAUCCGAGGCUCGUGGUGGCUCACUGUAGCCUCGCUACACUGUUUUCUUCUCCUCUCCUGUGCUAUUUGCUGUUUCUCCUAAGAUUCUUUAGGCCGUGCUUAUCCGUGCUGGAGUUUAACGAAGCAGCACGUUGCUGCUGCUGGUGCUGCCCUCAUGCCCUGGUGGUCGACUGGUAUCGGUACCCGUACUUGCGUCGCUUUAUUAUACCCUAUCUUCGCCGGUGAGGUUUCCGGCCGUUCGGUACAGGUAGUCUAUGUCAAACACUCGUUUUAUUUCUUGUCAUACUAUAUUCUUCUGCUUCCUGUUCGUACCGGCGGCGUGUGCCUUUGCGGUGGCGCUCCUGGAUCUGGGUGCAGCGAGCGCCCGUCAGCUUCUCCCUCCCCAUGCCACCUCGUCAACGCCCCCCGGCACCUGGCAGAUUCGCCGUCAUGCUGGCUCAGCGCUCGACCCCUCGCGCUCGGCGGCGUCGCCUGCAGGCCAGGUCCGGUUUCAUCGCAUGUCGCCGCCCGCUGGUGCUUCCGUGUCAUGGGAGGGAGCUUCGUUUAUCUUUCUGACCGACAUGUAAUGUGCAGUGCUAGGACUGCUGCUGCAACGCUUCGCGAUGCAAGGACGUCGUUCCAGCAGGACGAUUCUGUUUGGACUCCGGAACUGCGGUUUGGAGUUCUGAAGGCGAAUAGGCGAUAAUAAUGCGGUGUAAAUUGUGAUGAAAGCUGAGAUUCUUUGUAUGAAAUACGGAAUGUAUCGCUUGGACACUGUAUCGCGAAUUGGUGGAUGAGCAUGUUGUAUUCCGUUGCCCUUUUGGUUCGAAA
rnacentral:precursor_RNA from 1 species